rnacentral:rRNA from 1 species
CCUACGGGCGGCAGCAGUGGGGAAUAUUGGGCAAUGGGCGCAAGUCUGACCCAGCAAUGCCGCGUGCAGGAAGAAGGCUUUCGGGUUGUAAACUUCUUUUCUCAGGGACGAAGCAAGAGACGGUACCUGCGGAAUAAGCCACGGCUAACUACGUGCCAGCAGCCGCGGUAAUACGUAGGUGGCAAGCGUUAUCCGGAUUUACUGGGUGUAAAGGGCGUGUAGGCGGGACUGCAAGUCAGAUGUGAAAACCAUGGGCUCAACCUAGGGCCUGCAUUUGAAACUGUAGUUCGUGUGAACUGGUGAGGCAGACGGAAUGCAUAGUGUAGCGGUGAAAUGCGUAGAGAUUA